rnacentral:lncRNA from 1 species
GGACCCUGCGGCUCCAGGCGCCACACACAUCAGUGCGCCCGCUCUGGCUGUGAAUUUCGGGGAGGGGCGGCAGCAGAGCACGUGGGCUGGCUGGGUGGGGACGAUCACCCGCCAGCGCCUUUUCCCACCCGGGCGCCCUUUCCAGUCCCCGCGUCGCCUGCAGGGCCGCCCCUCCUCCGCCCGCUGGUUCCUCCCCACUCGCCGCUCUCCAGCCCCGCGCGGCUCUGUGGCCCGGGCUCCAAGGCGGGGGCCGCCCACGACGGCCACCGGCAGGGACAGCGGGGGCAAAUUUCCCAGAGCGCCCUUCAGCUGGUGACAUCACACAGCCCACUGUUGAGGUUCCGAGUCCUACACCCACAUGCAAUCAAAAGAUGGAAAAUCGACUUGCACACAUGGAUCUGGUUUACAGGCUGGUUGUUGACUCUCACACCGUGAUUCAGCAAACCUGUAAGGCUGUGACUUUACUAAGAAGACAAAGUUUGCAGGAGGAAUAGAGGCUUUGAUGCAGUCCACUGCUGAGAUUGUGACUUAUGUACUUAGACUCAACAUUCAGGAGGUGUUGACUCUUAUACCUAGAACUGGGACAUGUGUGAAAUUAUUAUUAUUUUCCUUUUUUUUUUGAGAUGGAGUCUUGCUCUGUCAACCAGGCUGGAGUACAGUGGCGUGAUCUUGGCUCACUUCAAUCUUCACCUCCUGGGUUCAAGUGAUUCUCCUUUCUCAGCCUCCACAGUAACUGGGAUUACAGGCAUGCAUCACAACGUCCAGCUAAUUUUUGUAUUUUUAGUGGAGACAAGGUUUCAUCAUGUUGGCCAGGCUGGUCUUGAACUCUUGACCUCAGGUGAUCUGCCUGCCUCAGCCUCCCAAAGUGCUGGGAUUACGGGUGUGAGCCACUGCGCUUGGCCAUGUGUGGAAUUAUUAGUCUCACCCCUGGAUCUUAUUGCAGAUGUUAUUGUGACAUAUGCCUCUCCCAGCACCUGAGUGAUUUGACUCUCUUGUGAGGUCUUAGCUGACAGAUUGGAUUGUGGCAUAUCACCUAGGUGAUAUGACACUAUUCGCCUGCCUUGGCACUACCUACUUGGGGCUUUGUGACAUAUGUCUGUGCUCAUAACUAAGAUGAUGUGAUUCUCUUCUCUUACCUGGUCUCUGCUCACAUGGGAGAUAAUGACAUAUUGCUGGGACCAAUACCAAAGUGACAUUACUCUUUUACCUUGACCUUCUUCUCAGAAAACAUUGGGACAUAUUGUUGGGCCCACCACCAACAUGAUGUGAGUCUUCUGUGUGGUCUCUGACCACAGAGAUCAUCGUGACAUAUCUCUGAAAGUUCAAAACUAUUUGAAGCGAUUAUCUUGUUAUGCCUGCUCUUUGCCCAUAGGAGAGAAUGUAACAUUUCUGUGGGCCCAGCACCUAGUUGAUAUAAGUGUGCCUGGCCCAUGCCUACAAAAGAAAGACUGACUUAUCCAUGGGUCCAGCACACAGGUGAUUCCAUUCUACUGCCUUGAUUAUUGCCCACAAGAAUCACUGUUACAUAUUUUUGGGCUCUCCUCCUAGGUGAUGUGAGACUCUUUUCCUUCCCUGGUCCCAUCCACAAAGGAGAUUGUGACAUAUCACUUGACCCAGCACCUACGUGAUCUGUCUCUCAUCUGAUGCCUUGGCCCUUCCCACUGGGCUGAUCAUGACAUAUAGCUGGGCACAGCUACUAGGUUAUGUGACUCUUCUCUUCCUGAGUCCUGCCCACAGGGAGCAUUGUGACCUAUCUCUAAACACUUCACCUAGAUAAUGGGACUCUUUCAUCUGGGCCCUCCCCAAAGAGGCUAUUGUGACAUGUUUGGAUCAAGCACCUAGGAAAUAUUACUGUUCUCUCCUACCUGUUACCUGUUACUGGUAGUGAAUCCGUAUGGGUACAGGUCUGCAGCAACCUCAAUUCUUGCCUCCUCAGAAGAAAAAAACUCAACUGAGGGGCAUAAGGCAGAAGGAGAGACCAAGGCAAGUAAUAGAGCAGGAGUGAAAGUUUAUUAGAACAGGAACAAAAGGAAAAAAUGUACACUUGGAAGAGGACCAAGUGGAUGACUUAAAAGGAAUACAGUCCACCAUUAAGACGGUGACUCAUGUACUUGGACCAAACAUAAAGAAGGUCUUGACUUUCAUACCUGGAGCCAGAAAAUGUAUGGAAUUUUGAAUCUCAUUUCUGGACCUGCUUGCAGGCGUGAUUGUGACAUAUACCUUGGUCCAGCACCUGAGUGAUUUGACUAUCCUGCCUGGGUAAAGCCUCAAAAUGGAAUUGUGACACAUGCCUGGUGCAAGCAUCUAAGGUAUUUUACUCUCCUGCGUAGACCCUGUCCUCAGGGAGAAUUGUGACAUCCUGCUGGACCCAUCGCCUAGGUUAUAUAUUCUCUCCUGCCUGGGCCCUUUACACAGGGUGGAUUGUGACAUAUUGCUGUGUCCUGCAUGCAGAUAAUGUGACUUUCCUGCCUGAACCCUGCCCACAGAAGGCACUGUGAAAUACUCCUGGGCCCAGUACCCAGGUUAUGUGACUUUACUGCCACAGCCCUGCCCACAGAGUGGACAUUGACGUAUUUUUGGUCCAGCAUUCAGGUGAUCUGAAUCUCUUGCCUGCUCCAUUCACACAGCUUAAAUUUAGACAUAUGUAUUUUCAAGCUCUUAGACAUUAUAGUCAAGCUUAUAUGGGAACCCAG